rnacentral:rRNA from 1 species
UACGGGGGGAGCAAGCGUUGUUCGGAUUUACUGGGCGUAAAGGGCGCGUAGGCGGCCACCGCAAGUCGACUGUGAAAUCUCCGGGCUUAACCCGGAAAGGUCAGCCGAUACUGCGGGGCUAGAGUGCAGAAGGGGCAACUGGAAUUCUCGGUGUAGCGGUGAAAUGCGUAGAUAUCGAGAGGAACACCUGCGGCGAAGGCGGGUUGCUGGGCUGACACUGACGCUGAGGCGCGAAAGCGUGGGUAGCAAACAGG